AGCGAACGCUGGCGGCAGGCUUAACACAUGCAAGUCGAGGGGAGCGGCAGACGGGUGAGUAACGCGUGGGAACAUACCUUUUGGAUCGGAACAACACAGGGAAACUUGUGUUAAUAACAGAAAACGAAAGAUCGGCGUCCAUCUGAUAAUCUAGUUGUUAGGGGAAUGGCCUACAAAGGCGUCGAUCAGUAGUUGGGUUGCGGUGAUGAUCAGCCACAUUGGGACUGAGACACGUCCCAAACUCCUACGUGAGGCAGCAGUGGGGAAUAUUGGACAAUGGGGGCAACCCUGAUCCAGCCAUGUCGCGUGAGUGAUGCAGGCCCUAGGGUUGUAAAGCUCUUUUGUGCGGGAAGCGUUACCGUAAGAAUAAGCCCCGGCUAACUCCGUGCCAGCAGCCGCGGUAAUAC
rnacentral:rRNA from 1 species